UUUCUACUCCCUCCGUCCGAAAAUACUUGUCAUCAAAAUGGAUACAAAGAGAUGUAUCUAAAACUAAAAUACGUCUAGAUACAUUUCCUUUUAUCCAUUUUGAUGACAAGUAUUUCCGGACGGAGGGAGUAUUUG
rnacentral:pre_miRNA from 1 species